GAUGAACGCUGGCGGCGUGCUUAACACAUGCAAGUCGAACGGAAAGGCCCAAGCUUGCUUGGGUACUCGAGUGGCGAACGGGUGAGUAACACGUGGGUGAUCUGCCCUGCACUUCGGGAUAAGCCUGGGAAACUGGGUCUAAUACCGGAUAGGACGAUGGUUUGGAUGCCAUUGUGGAAAGUUUUUUCGGUGUGGGAUGAGCUCGCGGCCUAUCAGCUUGUUGGUGGGGUAAUGGCCUACCAAGGCGUCGACGGGUAGCCGGCCUGAGAGGGUGUACGGCCACAUUGGGGCUGAGAUACGGCCCAGAGUCCUACGGGAGGCAGCAGUGGGGAAUAUUGCACAAUGGGCGCAAGCCUGAUGCAGCGACGCCGCGUGGGGGAUGACGGCCUUCGGGUUGUAAACUCCUUUCGCUAGGGACGAAGCGUUUUUGUGACGGUACCUGGAGAAGAAGCACCGGCUAACUACGUG
rnacentral:rRNA from 1 species